CUUUUCUCAACCCAGAAAUCAAACCUGCGUCUCUUACAUCUCCUGUAUUGGCAGGCGGUUUCUUUACCACUACCGCCACUGGGAAGCAAUGGUUUGUUCCAUUGUUCUCUUUCGUCUGCUCUGCAACAAAAGCUUUUAAAGGAGACGCGGGUUUGAUCCCUGAUCCGGGAAGAUCCCACAAGCGGUGGAGCAACUGAGCCCAAGUGGCAAAACUGCUGAGCCUGUGCUCUAGAGCCCAGGAGCCGCAACAAGAGAAGCCGCUGCAAUGGGAAGCCAGAGCACCACAACUAGUGAGUAGCCCCCACUCGCUGCAACCAGAAGAAAACCUGAGCAGCAACGAAGACCUAGCAUGGCCAAAAAUAAAUAAAUAAAUACAAUGUUUAAAUUAAAAAAAAUCUUU